rnacentral:lncRNA from 1 species
GUCACUCAGGAGCUGCAGCCACAUUGGAAGCCGGAACAAAUUCGUAGCAAGUGCUUUACUGAUGGAUGCUGUCACCAACAUGCCGGUGGCUUGCUAUGUGUGUGACUAUGUCCUGGCACAUGGGGAGUGGACUGAGUUGCUGAUGGACUGUGAGAAUUAAGCCAGGAAUUUCCAGCUGCUGCAAGCACAUGGCUGUGCCUCCAAACUCUAGUGCACUUUCUAGAAUGGGCUGGGCUGUGAGUACAUCUAGGACAUGGCGAUGGGGCUUGAAGCACAUCCAUGGGCCCUGGCUCUUCAG